AUGGACCUCCGUCACGGGACGCCGAAGCGUCUCGUCUGCCCGGCCGCGUCACCAGACGGCUGCCUACCUGCUCCCUGCCGACGCCAUCCCGUGCUCGGGACGCCGCGCUACCACGCCCUGACGUCCCUCCUCCCUCUCCCCUGCGUUCGCCCCAUCGUCCGUCCCCGAGGUACCCUGCCCGACCGCCCCCAGUCAGUUCUCUUCUCCGUGGCCGGAUCAGCGCAAUGCGUUCCUGGCAUUUUUUCUGUCUGUCUCUGUGGUUGGGCAGAUGGAGAGGGUGCUCAAGGGUUCAGCAACCUUACUGUCAGAUCCGGCGACCUCACUGCCAGGUCCGCCAUGCGCAAUCGCCAGGUAAGUGCAGCCCACGAUGAGUACGGGUGCCGGCGCGAGGCGACCCCUCACCUCACAGCGGUACCGAAGCUGCACAGCCUCCACAAAAAAAUGUCGGACGCUUUGGAUUGGAGGCAGAGCAGCAUGGUUACCAAGGUCAAAAGGACAAGGGCAGCUGCGCUGAGUGCGCACAGCGGCAGAUACACAAGGUUUACUGCAUUUCAGGCGGACAAUUUUAUUUCGAUCACAAUGGCCACAAAAGCUUCUUCAAAACACCACUCCCCACUCUUGCUGCUGCUCCCCGUGCUCACCUCCACAGCUUCCUGCAUCUUCGUGCGUACGCGCCCCUGGCUGUCCCACCCUGGAUGA
rnacentral:rRNA from 1 species